rnacentral:miRNA from 1 species
AUUUGGCACAAUCUGAUCUGC